AUUCGACCGGCCACCACUACCCCCACACCAGGAGCCAGCAGCCUCUUCUCCUGACGGCAGGUAACCCUCCCCAAUCCCUGAACUAGCAGCCUCUCCUCCACUUCUUGAUCUGUUUUAUUCAGAUUUGAUCUUCCAUUAAGCUGCUGGAUGUUGUGCUUGGCUGCUUGCUAGCUGCUGCUCUUUGAAUGCCUGUAGAUUGUAGUAGUAGUGUUGCUGCUGUUGCUUGCUACUCAUGUCAUGUUUGCUAGUUCAAUGCUUGUGCUGCUGUUGAUCAUGAAUGACGAAUGCUUGCUGUUUGUACUGCUUGCUGUUAGGUUAGGUAGAGCAUGGCAUCUGGGAGUGGCACAGCCGGUAGCCAAUCGUCUGUGGGUGAGAGUGAAGGUCAGUCUGGUCCUGGUGCUGUAGAUCCCCGAAUGGGGCAGUAUCUCUAUUCUAAUCUUUUUCUCCUUUAUUUUCUGUAUUAACUCUAUAUUACAUGGCAUAUUUUUAUUUUAUUUUAUAUAUGCUCACCGUAUCCCCGAAUGGCUGUUUUUGGAAAAUGCCGUAUCCCGUAUCCCCGUAUGCGUAUCCCCGACUUUC
rnacentral:lncRNA from 1 species